rnacentral:rRNA from 1 species
GAUGAACGCUGGCGGCGCGCCUAACACAUGCAAGUCGAACGAGCGAGAGAGAGCUUGCUUUCUCGAGCGAGUGGCGAACGGGUGAGUAACGCGUGAGGAACCUGCCUCAAAGAGGGGGACAACAGUUGGAAACGACUGCUAAUACCGCAUAAGCCCACAGCUCGGCAUCGAGCAGAGGGAAAGGAGUGAUCCGCUUUGAGAUGGCCUCGCGUCCGAUUAGCUGGUUGGUGAGGUAACGGCCCACCAAAGCGACGAUCAGUAGCCGGCCUGAGAGGGCGACCGGCCACAUUGAGACUGAGACACGGCCCAG